AUACCUUUCUCGGCCUUUUGGCUAAAGAUCAAGUGUAGUAUCUGUUCUUAUAAUAAGUUAGCUUGCUAACUGGGUUUUGUUGCACUGCAACAUAGGCGUGGCUCAACCCAU
rnacentral:snRNA from 1 species